AACGAACGUUAGCGGCGCGCUUAACACAUGCAAGUCGAGCGGAAAGGCCCUUCGGGGUACUCGAGCGGCGCACGGGUGAGUAACACGUGGGAAUCUACCUUUUGGCGGGGGAUAACACUUCGAAAGAGGUGCUAAUACCGCAUGUGACCGAGAGGGGAAAGGCGGCUUCGGCUGUCACCAGAAGAUGAGCCCGCGGCCCAUCAGCUAGUUGGUAGGGUAAUGGCCUACCAAGGCAAUGACGGGUAGCUGGUCUGAGAGGACGACCAGUCACACUGGAACUGAGACACGGUCCAGACUCCUACGGGAGGCAG
rnacentral:rRNA from 1 species